rnacentral:rRNA from 2 species
UAGGGAAUCUUCGGCAAUGGACGAAAGUAUGACCGAGCAACGCCGCGUGAGUGAAGAAGGUUUUCGGAUCGUAAAACUCUGUUGUUAGAGAAGAACAAGGACGUUAGUAACUGAACGUCCCCUGACGGUAUCUAACCAGAAAGCCACGGCUAACUACGUGCCAGCAGCCGCGGUAAUACGUAGGUGGCAAGCGUUGUCCGGAUUUAUUGGGCGUAAAGCGAGCGCAGGCGGUUUCUUAAGUCUGAUGUGAAAGCCCCCGGCUCAACCGGGGAGGGUCAUUGGAAACUGGGAGACUUGAGUGCAGAAGAGGAGAGUGGAAUUCCAUGUGUAGCGGUGAAAUGCGUAGAUAUAUGGAGGAACACCAGUGGCGAAGGCGGCUCUCUGGUCUGUAACUGACGCUGAGGCUCGAAAGCGUGGGGAGCAAACAGG